CAAUACAGAGGGUGCAAGCGUUAAUCGGAAUUACUGGGCGUAAAGCGAGCGUAGGUGGCUUGAUAAGUCAGAUGUGAAAUCCCCCGGGCUUAACCUGGGAACUGCAUCUGAUACUGUUAGGCUAGAAUAGGUGAGAGGAAGGUAGAAUUCCAGGUGUAGCGGUGAAAUGCGUAGAGAUCUGGAGGAAUACCGAUGGCGAAGGCAGCCUUCUGGCAUCAUAUUGACACUGAGGUUCGAAAGCGUGGGUAGCAAACAGGAUUAGAUACCCUGGUAGUCCACGCCGUAAACGAUGUCUACUAGUCGUUGGGUCCCUUGAGGACUUAGUGACGCAGCUAACGCAAUAAGUAGACCGCCUGGGGAGUACGGCCGCAAGGUUAAAACUCAAAUGAAUUGACGGGGGCCCGCACAAGCGGUGGAGCAUGUGGUUUAAUUCGAUGCAACGCGAAGAACCUUACCUGGUCUUGACAUAUCUAGAAUCCUGCAGAGAUGC
rnacentral:rRNA from 1 species